GACGAACCGUGCGAACGUUGUUCGGAAUCACUGGGCUUAAAGGGCGCGUAGGCGGGCUCGCAAGUCAAGGGUGAAAGCCCACGGCUCAACCGUGGAAGUGCCUUUGAUACUGUGAGUCUCGAGGAAGGUAGGGGCGUGCGGAACUUCCGGUGGAGCGGUGAAAUGCGUAGAUAUCGGAAGGAACACCGGUGGCGAAAGCGGCGCGCUGGACCUUUACUGACGCUGAGGCGCGAAAGCCAGGGGAGCAAACGGG
rnacentral:rRNA from 1 species